CCUACGGGAGGCACCAGUAGGGAAUCUUCCGCAAUGGGCGAAAGCCUGACGGAGCAACGCCGCGUGAGUGAUGAAGGUCUUCGGAUCGUAAAACUCUGUUAUUAGGGAAGAACAAAUGUGUAAGUAACUAUGCACGUCUUGACGGUACCUAAUCAGAAAGCCACGGCUAACUACGUGCCAGCAGCCGCGGUAAUACGUAGGUGGCAAGCGUUAUCCGGAAUUAUUGGGCGUAAAGCGCGCGUAGGCGGUUUUUUAAGUCUGAUGUGAAAGCCCACGGCUCAACCGUGGAGGGUCAUUGGAAACUGGAAAACUUGAGUGCAGAAGAGGAAAGUGGAAUUCCAUGUGUAGCGGUGAAAUGCGCAGAGAUAUGGAGGAACACCAGUGGCGAAGGCGACUUUCUGGUCUGUAACUGACGCUGAUGUGCGAAAGCGUGGGGAUCAAACAGGAUUAGAUACCCUCGUAGUC
rnacentral:rRNA from 1 species